rnacentral:rRNA from 1 species
GACGAACGCUGGCGGCGUGCCUAAUACAUGCAAGUUGAGCGCUGAAGGUUGGUACUUGUACCAACUGGAUGAGCAGCGAACGGGUGAGUAACGCGUGGGGAAUCUGCCUUUGAGCGGGGGACAACAUUUGGAAACGAAUGCUAAUACCGCAUAAAAACUUUAAACACAAGUUUUAAGUUUGAAAGAUGCAAUUGCAUUACUCAAAGAUGAUCCCGCGUUGUAUUAGCUAGUUGGUGAGGUAAAGGCUCACCAAGGCGAUGAUACAUAGCCGACCUGAGAGGGUGAUCGGCCACAUUGGGACUGAGACACGGCCCAAACUCCUACGGGAGGCAGCAGUAGGGAAGCUUCGGCAAUGGACGAAAGUCUGACCGAGCAACGCCGCGUGAGUGAAGAAGGUUUUCGGAUCGUAAAACUCUGUUGGUAGAGAAGAACGUUGGUGAGAGUGGAAAGCUCAUCAAGUGACGGUAACUACCCAGAAAGGGACGGCUAACUACGU